rfam:Clostridium sp. CAG:492 genomic scaffold, scf115
GGGCGCAUAGCUCAGCUGGGAGAGCAUCUGCCUUACAAGCAGGAGGUCAUAGGUUCGAGCCCUAUUGCGCCCA